AGAGUUUGAUCAUGGCUCAGAGCGAACGCUGGCGGCGUGCUUAACACAUGCAAGUCGAACGCGCAGCAUUCUGUAGCAAUACAGGGUGUGGGCGCGUGGCGAACGGGUGCGUAACACGUGGAUAACCUUCCUUGAGGUGGGGAAUAACCCAGUGAAAAUUGGGCUAAUACCGCAUAACAUCGCGAUGGCACAUGCUGAUGCGAUCAAAGGCGCAAGUCGCCACAAGAGGGAUCCGCGGCCGAUUAGCUUGUUGGCGAGGUAAUGGCUCACCAAGGCAAUGAUCGGUAGCCGGACUGAGAGGUUGGCCGGCCACACUGGAACUGAGACACGGUCCAGACUCCUACGGGAGGCAGCAGUGGGGAAUCUUGCACAAUGGACGAAAGUCUGAUGCAGCAACGCCGCGUGGGGGAUGAAGCUUCUCGGAGUGUAAACCCCUUUCGACCCGGAAGAAUGCCCGCAAGGGUAUGACGGUACGGGUAUAAGAAGCCCCGGCUAACUACGUGCCAGCAGCCGCGGUAAUACGUAGGGGGCCAGCGUUGCUCGGAAUUACUGGGCGUAAAGGGUCCGUAGGCGGUGUAGCAAGUCGAUAGUGAAAUCUCUGGGCUUAACCCAGAGGCUGCUAACGAAACUGCUGUGCUAGAGUGUGAGAGAGGCGAGUGGAAUUACGGGUGUAGCGGUGAAAUGCGUAGAUAUCCGUAGGAACAUCCGAGGCGAAGGCGGCUCGCUGGAUCACAACUGACGCUGAGGGACGAAAGCUAGGGGAGCAAACAGGAUUAGAUACCCCAGUAGUCC
rnacentral:rRNA from 1 species